rnacentral:rRNA from 1 species
CAGGUCUUGACAUCCUCUGACAAUCCUAGAGACAGGACUUUCCCCUUAGGGGACAGAGUGACAGGUGGUGCAUGGUUGUCGUCAGCUCGUGUCGUGAGAUGUUGGGUUAAGUCCCGCAACGAGCGCAACCCUGGUCCUUAGUUGCCAGCAUUCAGUUGGGCACUCUAAGGAGACUGCCGGUGACAAACCGGAGGAAGGUGGGGAUGACGUCAAAUCAUCAUGCCCCUUAUGACCUGGGCUACACACGUGCUACAAUGGACGGUACAAAGGGCUGCAAGACCGCGAGGUUUAGCCAAUCCCAUAAAACCGUUCUCAGUUCGGAUUGUAGGCUGCAACUCGCCUACAUGAAGCCGGAAUCGCUAGUAAUCGUGGAUCAGCAUGCCGCGGUGAAUACGUUCCC